GGGGGAUGACACAGGACAACAUAUGGAGACAGAACAUGAUGGACAGGUAAGCCCUUAACUUCUGUUUUCCCAGGAAGGGGUUAAACCUCCCUUCGAAAUCAGCAUCCACUCUCCCUGCCAUGGCAAAGUAAACCUGGAAACCUCCAAACCAAGGCGUCAAAGGAAAUUUCCUCUCCUGUGUUCUGAGGACCCUAACCAUCUUCUUGCUCAGAGGGUGCUGAGAAAAACUUUCCUCUUUCCCAUUGCCGGUGCGCUAUUCUUUACGAGUUAAUCACCAGCCUUCACCAGUGGUAACAAUUGCAGACACAAUCUGUGCCCACGUGGAAAAUUGCAGCCCUCGAGGUUAUCGUGUCAUUGCCGGCCAUCCAAAGGCAUGCUCGCUGGCUUGUUGGAGGUCCAGACUCGCCCCCGAGAGGCGAGAAGUUUCCACCUCAUUAUCUUGAACAGCAGGAAUUCUAAAUUCUCUCUUAAAAAAUAGGUCGGUGUUGGGGGGCACAGGAGGGCACUAAAGCUGCAACCAUCUGGCUGGUGAUGAGGGAAAAUGGCUGUGUUAUCACAGAAGGCCCAGCACCCGAAGUGGGUAAUUAGUCAUUUUAACACAUUGGCAUGUUUACAUAAUGAAACAUCUAUCAGUGGUGGGUUCUUAAAUUUUAUUUUAUAAUUUACAUACGGUAGCAUUGACUUUGUUGAGAGAUGGGUCCGUGAGGUCUUUUUUUUUGUUUUAUUGAAGUCGAGUUGAUUUACAAGGUUGUGAUCAUUUCUGCUGCACCACAGAGGGACCCAGUCCUACCUAUACCCACAGCCAUUCUCUCUCAGAUUCUUUUCCCACAUAGAUGAUCACAGCGGUCUGUGAGAUUUGAUCCCAGCCAUAACCAAGACAGAAAAGUUCCCUCACUUCCAAAAACUCUCUACGUAAACAUCCCCCAACCCCUAACCCACUGGUGACUGCUGCUCUAUUUUCCAUGCUAUGGUUCAGCCUGUCCCAGAACCGCAGAUAAGGGGCAGGAUGGGGUAUGUAGCUUUUCAGUCUGGUUGCUUUCAAUUAGCAAGAUCAGCGACAAUUUAAAGCAUUUUAAGCAAUAGCACAAUUCCUAGGCUUCUGAGAACAAAGUCCUCUUCUGCUUCACAACUUCUGCAGGCGUGAACCGAGCUGCGAUAGAGGAGGUGAGAGCUCUGCAGCCUGCUCCUCAGACCCCAGCUCCUGCCACCUGCUUUAAACUUUUCAUCCUAGAACUGAGGGCGCCGUGGUCCAGGGAGAAGCAGAGACGCAGAGUGCUCAGGGUGAGAUCAGGGCGAGAAUUCUCCAACCCUGAUUCUACAAGUGAUCCUCUCUUGACCUUACUUUUAGUUACACGGCAAUGCAAAGCUUCUCCUAAAAUGAAAACCCAAUUUUAAAAACAGCUACAUAUAACAUAUUUAUUCUGUAGGCUUCCUCUUCAAUGUCAACUUCAAAUGAAAAUAAAUCCUUAAAGAGGAAAAAUAAGACAAAUUCCAGUAUGACCAGUCUCUAACCUUACAGAAUGCUUACCUCACAUCUUCAGCCAUUUGGGCUGCUGUAACGGAACACCCUAGAUGAGGGCCUUGAAACAGAAGACAUUUCCCUCUCAUGCUUCUGGAGGCUGGGAGUCCAAGGUGCCUGCAGAUUCAAGCCUGGUGAGAGCCGGCUUCCUGGUUCCUAGAUGGCCGUGUCCUCAUAGAAGAGGAGGGAGCAAGGGAGCCUUCUGGGUCUCUUUUCCACGAGCACUAAUCCCAUUCUUGUGACAGCUGCCCCCAUGACUUCAUCACCUCCCAGAGGCCCCACCUCCAAAUAUCAUCACACCCGGAGGCAGAAUCCCAUGGACGAACUUUAGGGAGACACAAAUAUUCGGACUAUAGCACUUCCUAUUAUGCAUCAUAUGAGAUAGGGAACUGCUCCAGAAUUUGAACAGUCCUCCCUAGAAAGUUUAAGGAAAACAAGCAGGUUGUGAUUUAAGCAAAGAGCACAGAUACCCAGCCUCUUGCGAAGUCUCUCUGACCCUCUCUUCAAGAUCGGCAGAGACUUACCCAUCAUGUAACUAAUAAGCAACAAUACCUGUAUUGGCUUCCGUUUUGCAUCUAACCCUAAAAAACUUGACCCGGAAACACAUCAUGGUGUCAAGGUGGCAUGUGUUUGAAUGAGAUUUAAGGGUUUCUUCACAGAACUCUCUGGUUUCCUUAAUUAAGCCAGCCGUGGAAGUCAGGAAAUGUGUCUCACUUCAGUUACUCAGGAUGUCUGUACCUCUGUCCAUCGUACCCUUUUCAGACCAUACUCUGCCCCAAGUGAAACCAUCUUCCCCAGCUCCUGCUAAAGAGAAAGCCCCUAAGGGUUGGGGACCCCCAUCUGCCAGCAUCCUCAACCAGAGAUGGACUUGGACACAAGGGUCUCAGUCCAGAGUGUGGGUAAUAAACCAGACCUGGGCUGGCACAAAAUGACAAGCAGAGCCACCCGAACGUCUCCCUUGUAAUUCAAAUCAAACAUUUCAAACUGAAGUGAAUUCUGGUUGUUGGAGCCGAAAGGUCACGAUGCAGAAGACACGACGAGGAAGCUAGGGUUGCGAGGAAGCAGAAACCUGGGAAGCAGAUGAUGUUGGAUGGAGGGGGAGCUGAACCCUGUGGGUUGUGGUCAGUGUCAGGAGCUGACCUUUCCCAGGCCCGUCAUUUGGGGCUCCUGAGUCCUCUGUACCCGCAAUCUGUGUCAACCAUCCUGGUCCCAUUGCUGGAGGCACUUGGAUGGAGGCUCUCUGGUCUGUGAACCCAAGAGCUUUAGAUUCUACUGCAACACACACUGAUGGCCAAGUUGCCCUCACUGGCAAGAGUAGGUGGUAGGAUUUCUCAAGUACAAGUUCAAAGAUCUGUCUCUUAGCACCAAGUCAGAUUUAACAUUAUGUAGUGAAUACAUGAGGGCAAGAAAGAUGGCUUAAUGAAAUGCCUGAAUAAGAAUGUUUUAAAUAGAGAGCUUCCUUUAAACUCUCAAGAGUAAGCAGCAAUAUAGACAAUAACUCACAGAUUAUUUCCAGGUAGAAUUCCAGGCACAAUUGCUUUAAAUAAAAGAAGAGGCACUUUUGCAAUGAACACAUGUAUAGAAAAUCACUGCUAAAAUAUUUAAGAAUAUUUUUCACCCCUUUAAUAUUUUUCUCAUGCUUUUUUCCUUCUCCUGAGAUGCUUUAUGUAUCAUGUUCUGUUCUCAAUCGCUUAUUCAUCCUUCAAGGGUCAAGUUAACACAUUUUCUAUCCAACUUUCCCAAGCGUCCUUGUUUUAAUUGGUGUCCUAUUUCAGAGUGUAACUGAACUUUUUUUUACAGUAUUGAUCACAUUCUGCUUAUAUUACCAUCCUUGCUCUGCUUGUAUACUGCCUUUUCUCUCCUGUAAGUCUUUCCAAAUCAGAGACUUCUUCCCAUUUAGUGUUAGAAGAAGGAGAGACCAUCUGGAAAUGUUAAAGCAUUUUUUUUUUUGUUCACAGGUUCUCGGCUGUGACGCUCCCCCCUUUUCAGCCAUAGGCGCAUCGGCUUCCUCAGAAAGGAACAGGGUAGUUACAGCAGAGAAGCAAAAAGAAAGGGUCAAUAGGCUUGUCAAAGACAAUAUAGAUCCGAGAUAUUUCAAAUGACAAGAGAGCCUCUUUUUAGGGGAAAGAGGAGUACAUGUUAAUCAAAAGAUAAUGCCGCAAAGACGCAGGUGUAACGCACAGGUAGCUGACAGUAACGAGAAUAAAUAGAGACCUGGGCAAUUCUGCAGGAGGGGAUUGGGGCUGGCUGGUUUGUAAGGGCUGGGGUAUGAAAUAGACAAGAGGAGAGAGACCACAAGGGUAGACGAGACCCAACAGCGCCGCCUGGGCCACAGCAUCAGUGGCCAGCCCUGGGCACGAACACUAGGGCAGCACCAACACCAAAAUCCCCAUCUGCCUGAGUCUGCUUGCCUGCCAAAAAAACUAGACACUUACUUCUCACAGUUCUGGAGGCUAGAAUUCCAAGACAAGCGUUCUGGCCCAAUGGGUUCUCCUUGAGAGCUCCCUUCCUGGCUUGCAGAGGGCAGUCCCCUCCCUGUGCCCUCAGGCAGUGCUCGUGGGCGGGACAGGCUGGGGAGCAAGCCACCAGUUUCUCUCUUCUAAGGGCACUAAUCCUGGUGGAUCAAGGCCAGCUAUGGACUGAAUUGUGUUCCCUCCAAAAUCCAUAUGUUGAUGCUCUGACCCCCCAGGGCUACUCUGCUUAAUCCCACUGGGCUGGUGCCCUUAUAAGAAAAAUAGGAGACACCAGAGCCAGUGCUCACGAUCUCUCCUUCUCUUCUCUCUCUUCCCCUCCCUCCCUCCCUCCGUCUCUCCCUCUCUCUCUCUCUCUGCCAUGUGAGGACACAGAGAAAAUGGCUGUGUCUACAAGCCAGGAAGAUAGUCUCACCAGAAACUAUAUCAGCCAGCACUUUGAUCUGGGACAUCUCAGACUCCAGAACAGUGAGAAAUAUUUAUUGUCUGAACCACCCAGUUUGUAGAGUUUGUUUGGCACCUCCGAGCUGACCGAUAUGGAGCCUCAUCUUUAUGACCUCAUGUGACUUUCAUUUCCUCCUCAAAGCCCCAUCUCCAAAUACAGUCACAUCGGGGGUUAGGACUUCAGCAUAUGAAUAUGGGGGACACACAUUCAGUCCACAGCAGGAGAUAUUUCAGUGGGGUCCCACGUGUGGCCUGCCCUAGAGCUCUCCUGGGAACAGUUUUCAUGGACACCUGGAGAGGACUUGCCACCUUCACCUGUCUGCACCUGCAGGAACAUACCUGCUGGCACCUGCCCUGACUGCCCAGCAGGAACAUGCCUACCUCCACCGCAGACCUAGCUCAGCCCACCCUAAACUGUUCCACGUGGGGAGCUCCCGUGUCAAUGGCAAAGGACUCAAAUAAAUGCCUUCAAGUGGGGGGAGGGCCUCUGGGCUCCCUAAGCAACUGGUGGUGGUGCCACCAUCCUUAUGUUAUGUGACAGCACAAGAUUGAGAUUUCUGUCUACCGCUGAAAAGGGAGUAAAACACAUCCUCCACUUCAGACUAUUCAUUUUAUACCCCUUAUGUUGUCAUUCUAGAAAGGUCUGUAGAGUUGGAUGGCACAAGUUCCAUUUUUAAAUUGGCUAGAGGAGUUCCCAUUGUGGCUCAGGGGUUAACGAAUCCGACUAGGAACCAUGAGGUUGCGAGUUCGAUCCCUGGCCUCGCUCAGUGGGUUAAGGAUCUGGUGUUGCCGUGAGCUGUGGUGUAGGCUGUAGAUGAGGCUCUGAUUCCACUUUGCCGUGGCUGUGGCGUAGGAUGGCAGCUACAGCUCCGAUUAGACCCCUAGCCUGGGAACCUCCAUAUGCUGCAGAAGCCGCCCUAGAAAAGGCAAAAAGACAAAAAAAUAAAAUAAAAUAAAAUAAAAUCUUCUAUAAACUUAAAUCUGCAAAACAAGGUCCAAAUUAAAGAGAUGAAUUUUUUCUCAAGAGCUCAAGAAAACAGUGGGUGGAAAAUGAGUAACACAGAACCACACUGCUGGCCGAGGAGAAUGACAUGAUUACUUCAAUGCUAUUCUAUGACUUAUUACUUUAAACCCAUGCUUAAUUACCAGUAGUAACAGAGAUUACUACUGAGGCAUGGAUAAUUGCAGAUUUUUCUAAAUAUUAAUGUGGCCACAGAUUUCCAUAUAUAUUCCCAUUAUAGCUUUCAGAGCCAUACAUCCAUUUCACACUGUUUCACAAACAGUGACACAGACAAAAGCAGGUUGAAAAACUGGCCUGAAAAACCCAUAAAGAUGUUUGAGAAUUCACCAUGGGCAUAGUUCUCUCUGACCUUGGCAGCACCAUAUAUUGUAAGGAUGUAGAAGGAAUUCUGCUGAGAAUGUUGAGUUUGGUUCAACCUGAAUUAGAAUGGAUGGUUUAACAUUGUUCUCCUGAGUCUAUGAAGGUCUCUCCAUCUUUCUUUUUCUUGUCCCCAGUGACAGCAUCAUGAGCAUUCGGCAGGAACUUUUUGUGCUUCAGACUUAAGAGCCUUAGUUUUUAAUGGAACGUUGCAUCCUGGGAAUGAGGAUGACACUAAGGACUGGAAAGGGACAUUGAUGACGACUACAUCAGUCACAUGUUCACUCAUUAACGUACGAAGCAGACAUCUAUUGUUUCAAGUUCAGAGACCUGUGUCUGUGUAAGUUCUCAAAUAAUCCUUCCUGGGUGAGAAAGGCACAUUCUGCUGCCUGCCUCUCUGCCUUUCCCUCCCAUCCUGCAGGUUGUCGUGAAGAGAGACACAGGCUAAAGUCCAGAUGACGGGCUUGGAAGCAAUGUGGAAACUGGGAGGAAGGUGGUGGGGUGAGGGGAGCAGUGGGAGGGGCAUUGACGCUGAGAAGACAGGAGAAAGGCUCUGGAAGAAAGAAGACUUGGAGACAGAAGAAAUAUCAAAGAGGCAGCAUCAAAGAUAGUUGCACCUGGAGUUCCCGUCGUGGCACAGUGGUUAACGAAUCCGACUAGGAACCAUGAGGUUGCGGGUUCGGUCCCUGCCCUUGCUCAGUGGGUUAAUGAUCCGGCGUUGCUGUGAGCUGUGGUGUAGGUUGCAGACGCGGCU
rnacentral:lncRNA from 1 species